UACGAAGGUCCCAAGCGUUAUCCGGAUUUAUUGGGUUUAAAGGGUGCGUAGGCGGGCUAUUAAGUCAGUGGUGAAAGCCCCAAGCUUAACUUGGGAACUGCCAUUGAUACUGAUGGUCUUGAGUACAUUUGAGGUGGGCGGAAUGUGUCAUGUAGCGGUGAAAUGCGCAGAUAUCAGGAGGAACACCGAUGGCGAAGGCAGGUCUCUGGGCAUUAACUGACGCUGAGGAGCGAAAGCAUGGGGAGCGAACAGG
rnacentral:rRNA from 1 species